CUGAAUUCCUUUCUUCAAUUUAUUGGUGUACGUUCUCUCCAUCUAUUUCUCUUUCUUUUUUUCACUCUGUCUUUCCAUGUCAUUUCCCUUUUGCUAUCUUACAGCCCCAUCCUCCCUUUUGCCAUCAAUGAUAUCUUCGUGAAGCUUGCUCAAGAAUCACAAGAAGCCAACAAUCACUUCAAGGAAAAUUCAAACUGCUGUCAGACUUGUUCUUCUUGGUGAAUUGGCCAAACAUGCUGUUUCUGAGGGUACCAAGGCUGUGACCAAGUUUACUGGUUCUUAAAUUUGAUAGGAUCUAAUUUUAGGAACCAUUGGUAAUUUUAAUUAUCAGUUUCCAUCCCUAAAAAAAAAUAAAAUUUAUCAGUUUCUUUUAGAUCUUGAAGAUGUAAUGAAGUAAUGGAAUCUGGUUGUUCUUUUGUGUAUGAUAAAAUGGUGGAAUUUAAUGCAAUCAGACUUAAAAUGUUUUUAUUGUUCAAUUUGGUUGAUUUUGAGCAAGCUUCUGGAAGAACAUACGGCAAUAAAUUGAAGAAAGUAACUUAGUGGUAGUUAUAAGUAUUUUAUUUGUAUCAUUGUGAAG
rnacentral:lncRNA from 1 species